AAAUGCUCCAACUUGGUAGCAAGUGCAUCCAAGAUUCCUCCUUUCCCCUUGCUUGCGGCAGAUUGGGUUAUGGACAGAUUUUGGGUAGUUUUAUGAUAUAGAAUGGAUGGGGAAUGGUAUGGAAGGGUUUAGGGUGAGUGUGGAGGAGUGUUUGAUGGUUGGAGGGUGGUGGAGAACUAGGCAAAGAGGGUGGAAGAAGGUGGAGUGGCUGUUAUGUUUUCUAGGCACUAGAAUGGUGUUUUUGGGGGUGUUUUGCUUCCUAGGGUGUGUAUGGACGAAUUUUUGUGAUAAAAUGAUGAAUAUGGGGGAUUGUCCUUUGGCCAAGGGGUGUAAACAUGUAUUUAUAGGCCCCAAAAACCUUAGAAAAUCAGGUUAGGUUAAGGAUGAAAUGCAUGGCAAUUUAUGUGUGUGGUGUGCAAUGGUCCAAGGGUGAAAAUGAAGUAAUGAUGCAAAGUGUGAAGGGUAAAAUGGAGUGGUGUUGUAGCUAGGGAGCAUGAAUGAUUAUGUACAUUGCAUAGAGAUGGAAAGGGAGGUGAAAUGUGUCAACAAAUGGGUCAAAGGUGCAACAACAUGUG
rnacentral:lncRNA from 1 species